AUUUUGUAUUGCGAUGUUUGCCAUUUGCUGUAAUACCAGUAAUUAUCCUAUAACGACAUCUUCAUAAUUUGUAAGAAUGAGGAAUAAUAUAUAAAGAAGUUUAAAAAACUAAACUAAACAAAAAACCUGUAUUCUCUUUAAUCUUUGUUUCCCAUUCCUCCCAGUAGUGUCUAAGGUUAUCUAACUGCAAAGAAGGUUGUUUGAGAGCCAGUUCGUACCUUUUUUUUUUU